rnacentral:rRNA from 1 species
UAAUACCGCAUACGACCUACGGAAGAAAGCGGGGGAUCUUCGGACCUCGCGCUAUAGGGGCGGCCGAUGGCAGAUUAGCUAGUUGGUGGGGUAAAGGCCUACCAAGGCGACGAUCUGUAGCUGGUCUGAGAGGACGACCAGCCACACUGGGACUGAGACACGGCCCAGACUCCUACGGGAGGCAGCAGUGGGGAAUUUUGGACAAUGGGGGAAACCCUGAUCCAGCAAUGCCGCGUGUGUGAAGAAGGCCUUCGGGUUGUAAAGCACUUUUGUCCGGAAAGAAAACCUCUUGGAUAAUACCUGAGGGGGAUGACGGUACCGGAAGAAUAAGCACCGGCUAACUACGUGCCAGCAGCCGCGGUAAUACGUAGGGUGCGAGCGUUAAUCGGAAUUACUGGGCGUAAAGCGUGCGCAGGCGGUUUGUUAAGACAGAUGUGAAAUCCCCGGGCUUAACCUGGGAACUGCAUUUGUACUGGCAAGCUAGAGUAGGC